rnacentral:rRNA from 1 species
AUGGCAUCCCAGGUGAAGAGGGGCGCGACGGCGUCGUCGUCGAGGAGAUUCUGGCGGAACGAGAGUUUGCGGAGGCGAGGGAGGUGGCCGAUCCGGGGGUCGACUGCGGUGAGACGGUUCGCCGUAAGGUCCAGCUCCUCCAGGGUGGGCGGGAUCUCCACCUCACUCAGAUCGUGCAGCUGGCAGCUCGUGAGGUCGAGGCACAACUCCACCUCCGGCACCUCCAUCCCUGCCCCCGCAGCGUUCGAAUCUCCGGUGCCUUCGCCGGAGGCCAUGGGGGAUCGGGCCUGGACUUUCAGGGAGCUUCUGGAAGAAGCAAAGGGGAGAAGAAGAAGAAUAUGCCGGAUGGGGGCCUAA